rnacentral:rRNA from 1 species
UAGGGAAUCUUCGGCAAUGGACGGAAGUCUGACCGAGCAACGCCGCGUGAGUGAAGAAGGUUUUCGGAUCGUAAAGCUCUGUUGUUAGAGAAGAACGUUGGUAGGAGUGGAAAAUCUACCAAGUGACGGUAACUAACCAGAAAGGGACGGCUAACUACGUGCCAGCAGCCGCGGUAAUACGUAGGUCCCGAGCGUUGUCCGGAUUUAUUGGGCGUAAAGCGAGCGCAGGCGGUUCUUUAAGUCUGAAGUUAAAGGCAGUGGCUUAACCAUUGUACGCUUUGGAAACUGGAGGACUUGAGUGCGGGAGGGGAGGGUGGAAUUCCAUGUGUAGCGGUGAAAUGCGUAGAUAUAUGGAGGAACGCCGGUGGCGAGAGCGGCUCUCUGGUCUGUAACUGACGCUGAGGCUCGAAAGCGUGGGGAGCAAACAGG